rnacentral:rRNA from 1 species
AACGAACGCUGGCGGCAUGCCUAACACAUGCAAGUCGAACGAGAUCUUCGGGUCUAGUGGCGCACGGGUGCGUAACGCGUGGGAAUCUGCCCUUUGGUUCGGAAUAACAGUUGGAAACGACUGCUAAUACCGGAUGAUGACGAAAGUCCAAAGAUUUAUCGCCAGAGGAUGAGCCCGCGUAGGAUUAGCUAGUUGGUGUGGUAAAGGCGCACCAGGGCGACGAUCCUUAGCUGGUCUGAGAGGAUGAUCAGCCACACUGGGACUGAGACACGGCCCAGACUCCUACGGGAGGCAGCAGUGGGGAAUAUUGGACAAUGGGCGAAAGCCUGAUCCAGCAAUGCCGCGUGAAUGAUGAAGGCCUUAGGGUUGUAAAGCUCUUUUACCCGGGAUGAUAAUGACAGUACCGGGAGAAUAAGCUCCGGCUAACUCCGUGCCAGCAGCCGCCGUAA